UACGUAGGGACCGAGCGUUGUCCGGAAUCAUUGGGCGUAAAGAGCGUGUAGGCGGCCACUUAAGUCCUGCGUGAAAUCUUGCGGCUCAACCGCAAGCGGUCGUGGGAAACUGGGUGGCUAGAGUGCGGGAGAGGAGAGUGGAAUUCCUGGUGUAGCGGUGAAAUGCGUAGAUAUCAGGAGGAAUACCGAUGGCGAAGGCAGGUCUCUGGGCUGACACUGACGCUCAUGCACGAAAGCGUGGGGAGCAAACAGG
rnacentral:rRNA from 1 species